ACGGGAGGCAGCAGUGAGGAAUAUUGCACAAUGGGGGAAACCCUGAUGCAGCGACGCCGCGUGAGUGAAGAAGUAUUUCGGUAUGUAAAGCUCUAUCAGCAGGGAAGAAAAUGACGGUACCUGACUAAGAAGCCCCGGCUAACUACGUGCCAGCAGCCGCGGUAAUACGUAGGGGGCAAGCGUUAUCCGGAUUUACUGGGUGUAAAGGGAGCGUAGACGGCAUAGCAAGUCUGAAGUGAAAGCUCGGGGCUCAACCCCGGAACUGCUUUGGAAACUGUUAAGCUAGAGUAUCGGAGGGGUAAGCGGAAUUCCUAGUGUAGCGGUGAAAUGCGUAGAUAUUAGGAGGAACACCAGUGGCGAAGGCGGCUUACUGGACGAUAACUGACGUUGAGGCUCGAAAGCGUGGGGAGCAAACAGGAUUAGAUACCCUGGUA
rnacentral:rRNA from 1 species